AACAACAUAAACAGCUGUUUCUUGAAGACAGACAAGGAAGAGUAAAAUGGUUGGGAGAGAGAGAGUCUAUACAUUAAUGUCCAGCACCGAGUGAGCCCUUGUGAAGUGUGGACCUUGGAGAGCAUGUCAAGCAGUCUCAUUCAUUUUAACAAAUGCACCGUACUGGUGGGGGAUGAGGAGAAAGGACCAGGUGGGGGCACAAGGAAGAAUGCUGCAACCUGUUUCCUGAGAUGAAGUAUGGCUCUUAGAGACGGGCAUUUGGUGCACAGACUUCGGCCGGAAUACCUUUGCUCCUC